rnacentral:rRNA from 1 species
AUAUCAAUAAGCGGAGGAAAAGAAACCAACCGGGAUUGCCUCAGUAACGGCGAGUGAAGCGGCAAGAGCUCAAAUUUGAAAGCUGGCUCCUUCGGAGUCCGCAUUGUAAUUUGCAGAGGAUGCUUUGGGUGCGGCCCCCGUCUAAGUGCCCUGGAACGGGCCGUCAGAGAGGGUGAGAAUCCCGUCUUGGGCGGGGUGUCCGUGCCCGUGUAAAGCUCCUUCGACGAGUCGAGUUGUUUGGGAAUGCAGCUCUAAAUGGGUGGUAAAUUUCAUCUAAAGCUAAAUACUGGCCGGAGACCGAUAGCGCACAAGUAGAGUGAUCGAAAGAUGAAAAGCACUUUGAAAAGAGAGUUAAACAGCACGUGAAAUUGUUGAAAGGGAAGCGCUUGCGACCAGACUCGCCCGCGGGGUUCAGCCGGCAUUCGUGCCGGUGUACUUCCCCGUGGGCGGGCCAGCGUCGGUUUGGGCGGCCGGUCAAAGGCCCCUGGAAUGUAGUGCCCUCCGGGGCACCUUAUAGCCAGGGGUGCAAUGCGGCCAGCCUGGACCGAGGAACGCGCUUCGGCACGGACGCUGGCAUAAU